AAAAAUUGCAUGCAAAAUUAGAAAAUAAUUUCAUAUGAUUGAAACAGAACAUACCAGAUGAGACACAACAUACCAGGCUGAUGGAAUGCAGCUAAAGCAGUUCUUAGAGGAGAAAUUAUGGCCUUGAAAGCCUAUAUCAAAAGAAAAGAAAAGAUCUAAUGCCAAUCUUCCAUGUUAAGUCUCUGGAAAAAGAACAACAAAGCUUAGAGCAAGCAAAAGAAAGGAAAUAAUAAACAUUAGAGCAGAAAUAAAUGAAAGGGAGAAUAGAGAAAGAAUACCAAACUAAAAGCUGAUGCUUUUAAAAGGUUGAUAAAAUUGACAAACCUUUAACUAGACUGACUAAGCAAAAAAGAUAGAGAGAUCCAGAGAAACUAAAAUCAGGAAUGUUCAACAAAGAACAGGGAAUGUAGCAGUCAUUCAAUUAAAAUAUUUUAAGUAAAAGAAUUAAAAAUAAAUUGAGGUGUCAUGAAAAAUAAUUUUGCUAUAUAUGGUGUUGUUAUGAUGCUAGAGUUUGAAAAUGAUUCUGUGGUAGCAGAUGGGUGUGGGAAAGUGUGAAGUAAAUGAAAGAAUAAAGCUGUAGAACAGGAUUGCUGGAAAAAGAAUUUCAAAUGAAUAUGUUCAAGGGUGCAGACCCAAGUACAUGGAUCAGCAGACUUACUAUUGUUAAGAUGAAGGGUGGUUAAACAAUCACUUGGGCUACCCACAUCCUAUAUUGGAGUGCCUAGGUUCCUCCCAACUCCCUGCUCCAUACCAGCUUCCUGCCAGUGCCCACCCUGGGAGGCAGCAGGUGAUGGCUCCAGUAGUAGGUACCUACCAACCACAUGAGAAACUCAGAUGAGUUCUUGGCUUCUCACUUUAGUCUGGCGCAGUCCUGCCAAUUAUGGACAGUUUGGGUAUGAACCACUGAAUGGGAGGUUGGUCUCUAUCUCUCUUCCUCCCUCCCUCUCUCUCUGUCUCUUUCAAAUAAGGUAAAUUCUAAAAAUUUAAAGAUGGUAGUAUUGUUGUGUCCAAAUUUCCCAAUCAAUGCACAAGGCACAGUCUCAAUGCAAAAGCAGAGGUUUAUUUGUUACCAGCCAGCUGGGACCCCCUACCUGCACACAACCCUUUAGCAGUGCACAGGCAAAAGGCCCCUUCAUUUGCAUAAGAGAUGUUUUUCUAGCCUCACACUUGCAAGGGUGCAGGUCAUCUCCUACGUAAGUUACCUUCUUACUCUCUAUAUGGCAAGGUAUUGGGACCUAACAUGUUCAUUGGUUCAUUUAAACGUAUAGGCUAUAUACGUUAUGUGGCAGGAAGGCCACACAAAGGGAAUGGCACAGGGAGGCACUGGCGGGAAGCAUUGGGCCAUAAAUUCCAGGGGAGCUGGUGGGGGAAGAAGGUCACAAAUUCCAAGAGAGCUUACUUUCUUUGUUCUCAAGGACCCCGUCUGCCUCCUUCCUGGUCCAGAAUGAGGCCUGUCAUGGCCUUAUGGCUGGCAAGCGAGCAAGCCAGAGUGAGAAACCAACAUUUAGCAAGCCAUGGACUCCAAUCCCUACAGUAUAUCCCAAAUUUUUUUAAAGAUUAAUUUAUUUAUUUGAAAGUCAGAGUUACACAGAGAGAAGGAGAGGCAGAGAGAGAGAGAGAGAGAGAGAGAGAGAGAAGUCUCCAUCUACUGGUUCACUCUCCAGUUGGCUGCAAUGGCCGGAGCUGUGCCGAUCCGGAGCCAGGAGCCAGGAGCUUCUUCUGGGUCUCCCAUGCGGGUGCAAGGCCCCAAGGACUUGGGCCAUCUACUGCUUUCCCAGGCCAUAGCAAAGAGCUGGAUUGGAAGUGGAGCAGCUGGGACUCGAACCAGCACCCAUACUGGAAAAGGUGGUGGCUUUUCCCACUACACCACAGCGCUGGCCGCAGUAUAUCCCGAACUGAUCUUCUAACAUAAUCUUUAUCAAAAUCUCAGCUGGGUUUUUUAAGUAGAAAUUGACGUACUCAGGCCGGCGCCUCGGCUCACUAGGCUAAUUCUCUGUCUUGCGGCGCCGGCACACCGGGUUCUAGUUCCAGUCAGGGCGCCAGAUUCUGUCCCGGUUGCCCCUCUUCCAGGCCAGCUCUCUGCUGUGGCCAGGGAGUGCAGUGGAGGAUGGCCCAAGUGCCUGGGCCCUGCACCCCAUGGGAGACCAGGAUAAGUACCUGGCUCCUGCCAUCGGAUCAGCGUGGUGUGCCGGCUGCAGUGCGCCAGCCGCAGCGGCCAUUGGAGGGUGAACCAACAGCAAAGGAAGACCUUUCUCUCUGUCUGUCUCUCUCACUGUCCACUCUGCCUGUCAGAAAAAAAAAAAAAAAGAAAUUGACGUACUCGUCAGAAAAUUCAUAUGGAAAUGAAAAGGAACCCAGAAUAUAAUUCUGAAAAAGAACAAAACUAUAGACAUAUUUCUAAAUUACAAAAACAGUGAUCAAGACAGUCUGUUACUUAGUUAAGGACAGACAUGAAAUGGUCAAGUAGAACUGAGAGUCCAGAACUAAACCAUCACAUUUAUGGUUAAUUGAUUUUUGACAAAGGUGCCAAGACAACUGAACAGCAAAAAGAAUCUUUCCAAGAAGAAUGCUUCACAAUUGGAUAUCCACAUGCAAAAGAAUGAAGCUGGGCUCCUUCUACAUACCAGUCUACAAAGGAUGAUUACCCGAAGCAGUAAUAAGUAUGCCAUAACCAGUGCUUGUGAGGCUAGAAAAAAUGCAGACCCACUAGGAAAAGUGAAAUUUGUGAUAUAUCUGAGAGCUGAAACUACACAACUUGAACAGUUGCCAACAAAAUAAUCCAGUAAGCUUUGUGAGAAAUUUUACUUCAACAUAAAUUUCCUUUGAAAGUCUCAGCUGAUCUAAAACUUAGGUAAGAAUUAAAUUACAUUUAUUGCUGACCUCUUUGGGGUUGGUUCAUAACUAAGUUUUGGUCAACUGACAGAAUCCUGACCUUUGAUGCUUUCCUCUUAAAUAGUAAGAUCAUUCCAGGCAUGAGAGGGGUUCUGGAUCCUCUGUAACUUGCUCAGUGUAAGAUUGCUACUUUAAGGCAUUAGGCAGAACUCAUCUGCAAUUACCAAUCUUUACAAGAAAAAUGUCUUUGUUUCCAGGAGAAAGAGGUCUCAAAAUAUGUCUCUCCAAUUCUUCAGUAUUUCCAAAGCAUAUCUUCUCUAUUUCAAAUCUCAGAAAUUCAAUGAGCAAAAGUUUUAAAGAUACUUCCUCCUUUCAUUUUUCAUAUAUGAAGUAUGCUCAGAGACAAGAGGUAACUUCUCUCACAUCACACUUUCUUUAUGAUCUUGAGCUAAAUCUAGCAAUAAGGUCUUCUGAUUCUUGAUCCAAUGCUCACUUCUAUUAAUGAAAUUUGUACAGAGGUUUGGAGACAUUUUCAAUGUACUGUCUUUUUUUUUUUUUUAAAUGGUCAUGUAGUCAUUCAUUGUCAAGUUUCUUUGAACCCUUCCUUUUCUUUUUAAGAUUUUAUUUAUUUAUUUGAAAGGUAGAGUUACAGACAAACAGAGGAAGAGACAGGGGGAAAGGUUUUCCAUCUGCUGGUUCACUCCCCAGAUGGUCACAAUGGUUGAAGCUGGGCUUGUCUGAAGGGAGGAGCCAGGAGAUUCUUCCAGGUCUCCCGUGUGGGUUCAGGGGCCCAGGCACUGGGACCAUCUUCCACUGCUUUCCCAGGCCAUAAGCAGAGACCUGGAUUGGAAGAGGAGAAGCAGGAACACAAACCGAUGUCCAUAUGGGAUACCGACGCUGCAGGCGGAGGCUUAGCCGACUACACCACAGUGCCAGCCCCUGUUUGAAUCCUUUCUAAUCAUUCUCUUUUGUGACCAACAGAAGACUGUACUUGUGACUUGAGGUGUAUGUUCAGUAUUAACUUCCUCACAUUAUAGUUCUCUAUGGAAUAAUUGAAUAUGUCAUUUUGAUGUACUAGCUAGUGUUAUAAGCUUGCAAGCAACAGAAACUGGGCAGUAUAAUCCCAAAAUGAGUUUAUUGAGAGAUAAUGAAGUUCACACAGAAUCAAAGUAACACUUGAUGAGCAAGACUGAGAGGGGUACAACCCAGGUUAGUUCUAGGAUCUGGAAAUCCAGAUAGCAGAAUUGAGUCAGUGACAUCUCCAAAUCAGUAUGCAGUUUUCAUUGAUGCCGAGUUUUUAUUUUUUGUCCUUGUUUGACUCUGUUUUAAGAUUUGAACUCCCAGGAGAAUGACUCUGAGUUUGGUAACUCAGGCCACUUGGCUACCCCUUUAUCUCAAAACAAGACUAUGCAUGUUGGAACAGGAUGUUAGAUGCUUCAAAACAAGUUGAGCAUACAGUUAUUAAUGGAAGGGAAAGAAUGGUGAGCACCAAAAUCCACCACCACUAUACAGGAUUUCCCUUUAUGGUAAUAGCACUCAUACAGUUCUCUUUUGUGUGGCCUCUCUGGGUCAAGCAUCCUUUUGUUCAGAUUUUAUCUUUCAGAAGAUAUGACAUAAGGACUAGGACCACAUUCUGUACGUCCCAAUAGUUUCCCUCAUUCCUUGUGCACAACAAGAAAGUGCUUGUUGCACCACUUUAUUUAUAAUAAAGUACACCACUUUAGUUUCCUGUUAAAAAGCAAGACGUAUGGACUAUGAGAGCCAGGAGAGAUACUUCAUAAAUAGAAGAAUAUUAUGUAAUCUGUGAUGCAUGUAAGCACAUCAUUUAGUGUAUUAUCAGUGUCAAUGCUCAGAGGAAUUAAAAACAUGUACUAGAACCAGAUUACACACUAUGAGUAAAUUUUGCCACUAAUCACUUGUGUAAUUUUAGGGAUGUUAUUUAAGCUUUGUGUCUCAGACUCUUCAUUUGUAAUAAUGGGGUUAGUUGGCUGGCGCCGCAGCUCAAUAGGCUAAUCCUCCACCUGCGGUGCCGGCACACCAGGUUCUAGUCCCGGUCGGGGCGCCGGAUUCUGUCCCAGUUGCCCCUCUUCCAGUCCAGCUCUCUGCUAUGGCCCGGGAGUGCAGUGGAGGGUGGCCCAACUUGGGUCCUGCACCCCCAUAGGAGACCAGGAGAGUCACCUGGCUCCAGGCUUCAGAUCAGUGCGGUGAGCUGGCCGCAGCAGCCAUUGGAGGGUGAACCCACGGUAAAGGAAGACCUUUCUCUGUCUCUCUCUUACUGUCCACUCUGCCUGUCAAAAAAAAAAAAAAAAAAUGGGGUUAGUAAUCAUCUGUUUUAUAGUAGUCUCUCAAAUUUCUUCUGCAACUUCAGUUAUGCAGUCACACCGUCACACCCAGCCCAAGAAUAUUAAAUGGAAAACUCCAGAAAUAAAUAAUUCAUAAAUUUAAAAUUGUGCAACAUUCUGAGUGUCAUCAUGACAUCUCAUGUCCAACUAACUGCUCAAUCCCACCUGGGCUUAUGAAUCAUCUAUUUGUCCAGCAUAUCUGCGUUGCAUGUGUUACAAGUUAGUCACUCAGUAGUCUUCUUGGUUGUCUAAUCAACUCUUGGGGUACUUCCAGAACUUGUGUUCAAAUAAUCCCUUUAUAUUUAACUUUUUAAUCGACACAUAAGAAUUAUAAGUAUUUCUGAAGUAUAAUGUGAUAAUUGGAUACAUGUGUAAUGCUGAAAUCAGGGUAAUUAACAUAUCUAUCACUUCAAACAUUUAUCAUGUCUUUAUAUCAGGGACCUUUGUACUCCUCUCCUAUAGUUCUUGUGGCUUAUAGUCUGUGCAAUAAAACACUAAAACUUCUUCCUCCUGUUGAACUAUAUUUUGGUAGCCAUUAUCCAAUCUCCAUCUGUUUCCUUUUCUCUAUCCUUUCAAGCUUUUAGUGAUGGCUAUUCUACUCUCUUUAAUUAUUUUUUAAAGACUUAUUUAUUUAUUUAUUUGAAAGCCAGGUUACAGAGAGGCAGAGGCAGAGAGAGAAGGGUCUUCCAUCUGCUGGUUUACUCCCCAAAUGACCCCAAUGGCCAGAGCUGGGCCAAUCCAAAGCCAGGAGCCAGGAGCUUCUUCACUUCCUGGUCUCCCACACAGGUGCAGGAGCCCAAGCACUUGGGCCAUCUUGUACUGCUUUCCCAGGCCAUAGCAGAGGGGUAGAUGGAAGUGGAGCAGCUAAGACUUGAACCGGUGCCCAUAUGGGAUGCUGCCAUCACAGGUGGCAGCUUUACCUGCUAUGCCAUAGCACCGGCCCCUAUUCUACACUCUACUUCUAUAAAACCAACUUUUUUUUAUCUUGUACAUAUGAGAGAGGACAUAUAAUAUAUGCCUUUCUCUGCCUGGACUAUUUUACUUCACGUAAUAUCCUCUGGUCCUAUCCAUGUUAACACAAAUGACGAUAUUUCAUCCUUUUCUUCAUGGCUGACAAGCAUUCCAUUGUACAUAAAAACUACAUUUUUCUUAUUUGUCCAUUGAUGAACACUUACAUUGUUUCAUUUCUUGACUAUGUGAAUACUGUUACAAUAAACAUGGGAGUGCAGAUACUCUUCAACAUACUGAUUUUAACUCUUUUGAAUAUAUACCAAUUAAUGGGUUUGCUGGAUUAGUUGGUAGGUCUAAUUUUAGAUUUUGAGGAACUCCCCUAGUGUUUUCUGUUAUUGCUGUACUAAUUUACAUUUUCACUAACAAUGUAUAAAAGUUUCAGUUAUGUUCACAUUGUCUCCAACAUUUGUUAUUUUUUAUUUUAAAGUCAUUCUGACUGGCGUGAGAGGAUAUCUCACUGUGGUUUUGAUUUGCAUUUCCCUGAUGAUUAGUUACAUGAAGCAUUUUCUUGUAUACUUCUUGGCCAUUUGUAUCUGUUAUUUUGAGAAAUAUCAUUGCAAAUCAUUUGCCCAUUUUUAAAUUGGUUUUUUUUUUGUUUGUUUUCCUGCAACUUAACAGUUGUUUUCCUUAAUAAUGGACCCAAAGCACAAAAGUAAUCAUUCUGACAAUUUGGAUCUGCCAAAGAGAAACCAUAAACUGCUUCUUUUAAGUGGAAAGAUGAAAUUUCAUCAUUAUUUUUGUAUAAAUAUAGGGAAAAUAGUAUAUAGAGAGCUGGGUAUUAAAUAAGGGUCUUAGAAUUUAUCCCCUACAGAGAAAUGGGAGUUAUUGACUAUUCCUUUGAUGAGUAAGUAACUUAAUGUGUGAAGAAUGACUAGAAUACCCAGUAACUUAGUCGUCGCUGUUGUCAGCCUUAUGGUUAUCAUCCUGGAAACUUUCAGGCAAUAUUACAUUGCAGUGAGAAUUGGUUGAUGUUUCCAGCAUUUGUACCUUUUGGGGGACGGUAGCAAAAGAUGAAUUUUAAUGUCAACUUUAUUUAAUAAGCUAGCUGCAUUCAGAAUUUAUGCUAAGGAUUUGCUUGCCCUAUGUGUCUCUUAAAUUCUUCAUCAAAAAUUGCCUUUGCAAUUUUACUUUGUUAGUGAACAGAAAUUUACCAGCAGAUUUGUCUGAACUCAAGAAGGGCCUGAAUUUCUUUCUUUCUAAGGGAUUGGAUCUACAUUACAAUAGCUACCCAUUUAAUCAGUGAAUUGUGAUUAUUCACUACCUAUUAAUCUGUUUGCCCCCUUAAAAGGUGACAAAUGGUGGUUCCUUUUAAGUUUCAAAGAGGCCAGUUUAAUCUGGGCCUUCUGUUGCUUUGUUAGGGAAAUUGAACGCCCAGAAUUGUUCUUUGGUUUUCCCUUGUUGCUCAGAGGUCAUGGGAAAGUAAAUGUGAGAGCUGCAGUGUGAUUCAUCAUUGCCUAACAAAAUAAUGUGACACCUAGACACAGUGCUCUGACCGAUGGCAUUCACAUUCUCUGCCCCUCUGUGAAAUGAGCCUCUCACAAGUCAGUGCCGUGGAGAUUCUGAGCAGGAUAGGUAAUAUGGGAUCACUCUGGGGGUUACAGCUGUUUCCAACUGGCAAGAUGUGACAGUCCAAGACUGGGCUUUUCAACCCCAUUUUGUGUCUCUCUCUGAACAUUUUCAGGGCCUUCCUAUUGCACGCAUUAGCAGCAAAAGCUAAAAUAAUUUUAAGUAAAAUGUGAUAGACUGUGUCAAAGAACAGCCUCUCCCAAAAGAAAGUAUGUGAAAUGGUCAGUGAGAAUCUGUCUAUAACCGGUAGAUUUUCAUGCUCAGGGUAUGUUCUGCAGUGAAUUUCUUUGCAAGGUAAAUGUUCUUAUUCUCUCAAAAUUAAAGAAUUGUCUCUCAGAAACAAACUUGAAUAUCUGGAUUAGUGGUCAGCGUGGCAACUUCUAUUUCCUUCCCUUUUUCUGGCACACAAAGAGAACCUUCCUUGAGUCCCAGAGAGAACUUUGAUUCUAGAAGCAGAAAUGUAUUUGGAAAAACAACUUCAGUUUUGACAACUACAUCCUGUCUGCCUCCAGUGAACAACCACCUUUUUCCUCAGCUUACAUUUCUAUCGUUUCUUUUCUUUUUCUUUUGUUUCAUCCAUCCUUCUUGGCAGUCUUAUUGUUUCUCUCUCCCUCCCUUCCUUGCUUCACCUUACUAACCAUUAACUUUCGUCUUCUCAGUGCCAUCUCGAUAUUAAGUUUGUGAGAAAGAAAGUUGAAUAAAGUUCUGUGCCUUCAGUUUUCUCAGAGGCCUUUGUUGAGGCAAACAAGUAAACUGACCUGAAGAGGUCAACACCCUGUUAUUCCAAGUGUGAUUCCCUGGACUUGUUGGAGACACAGAAUCUCAGCCAUACCCCAGACCUACUGAGUGAGGGUCCACAUUUUUACAAGAUGCCAAAGGAGUCAUUUGUCCAUAAAAGGCUGUGAGAGGUAGAUACAAAAUACUGUGUAAAGCAAGGAUAUAGCAAGGCAUGUAAGGGAACAGGACUGUGAAGCCUACUUAACUCCAUGAGCUGGUACCUUGACAUCCAUGUCACAACAGCAGUGCUACUGGCCACUUAUCACUGUCCUCAGGACUGGACGCAUGCAAUUGCAUGGGGGCAAAGUUUGUUGAGCCCUACAGACUGUAAGCUACAACUCUGGAAAGUGUGAAUCGUACCUCAUCAGGUGCAAUGCACUUAGGUAGUCCUGAGCAAACAAUAAGCAUUUCAUUCUCAUGCUUACACCCAAUCCCUUCUCUCCCUGCAGAGAGAAGGAGAAAACGUAGGUCAAUGAUCAAAGGCCUCUGUUUAGAAGAUUAAGUGAGGUUGAUUUGGUUAUGUUGCAGGGAAAACGGUGACAAAGACAAUGACCUAGGUUCUUGUCUCACAUAUAAGAAGAAUUUCUAUGUGGACAAGGCAGUGAGCAAAUCAAGAUUUAUUUAAGUCAGAAACCUCCUGCGGCAGCAGCCGGGAGGAGGGCUCCAAGAAAGGUAGACCCGAGAAACUGGUUGAAGUGUACCUUUUAAGCACAAUUUGUGGGACAGUCAAUCAAAGAGCAGGAACAAAAUCCAUCAUAAGGCCAGAAUCAUAAUCCUGUCUAGCAUGCUCAGAAUAAAACAAAAAAGCCACCAGAAGGAUGGGCUAAGUUAAGUCUUUCUAUUCUCAUAAAAAGCAGAUUGGUAUUUUUAUAUUGCUAAAGGUAGCUUUUGGGGAGAAGCCUGCAUCUUGUAUUUUUUUUUUAUAAAAAGAUCUAUUUAUUUAUCUAUUUAUUUAAAAGAUCUAUUUAUUUACUUGAAAGAGUUACAGACAGAAAGAGAGAUAGACAAAUAGAGAGGUCUACCAUCCUCUGUUUCACUCCCCAAACGACUUUAAUGGUCAGAGCUAAACCCAUCCAAAUCCAGGAGCCAGGAGCCUCAUCUGGGUCCAUCAUGUGGGUCCAGGGGCCCAUACACUUGGACCAUCUUCCACUGCUUUCUCAGGCCACCUGCAGAGAGCUAGAUCAGAAGUAGAGCAGCUAGGAUGCAAACUGGCACUCACAUAGGAUGCCCUUUUUCCCCCCAAAGAAACCUUUUAUUUAAGGAAUACAAACUUCAUACUUUUCAUAAGUACAACUGUAGUGAUUCUUCCCACCAUGCCCAGCCUCCUACCCACACUCCCACCCCUCUUCCUCCUCCCUUUUGCAUUCCCAGUCCCAUUCUCCACUAAGAUCCAUUUUCAAUUAACUUUAUACA